rnacentral:rRNA from 1 species
UACGUAGGGCGCAAGCGUUGUCCGGAAUUAUUGGGCGUAAAGAGCUCGUAGGCGGUUUGUCGCGUCUGCCGUGAAAACCCGAGGCUUAACCUCGUGGCUUGCGGUGGAUACGGGCAGACUAGAGGUAGGUAGGGGAGAAUGGAAUUCCCGGUGUAGCGGUGAAAUGCGCAGAUAUCGGGAGGAACACCGGUGGCGAAGGCGGUUCUCUGGGCCUUACCUGACGCUGAGGAGCGAAAGCGUGGGGAGCGAACAGGA